UGGUCGUACAAGAAGCAGGAGGGCGACAAGGGUUCUUCACCAAACCCUAACUCUCACAAAAAUUGAUCAAUUGAAGGAUCAAAUCAAGUCCAAAACGAAAAUCGAGCAUAGAUUAAUGAUCCUCAUUGUAAGGAGAUCAUAAGUUUGACACCUAACGAGCUAGAUGGAAGCUUGUGGAUGAAGCGGGUCAAACGGAGCAAGUACGGAAAGAAAAGCGAGGCAUGGAUGCAAGGUGAAUAUCAAGAGUACCCGGAUGAGGAUCAAGCGCGAAAAGAACCGAACACAUGAAAAAGAAGCUUCCGCACGUUGCAUCGUUGUUAUUUCUAAAUGACGAAUCUAAUUACAUUCUGUUGUAUCAUUUUCACGUUGUAAAAGUUUAAAUAAACCCGUAUUUUCAUAAGUAUAUGUAGUCGUAAUUACUUAUUUCUUUUCGUAAUUUAUACGAAAAGCGCUAAAUAAUAGUACGGGUGUUACACCAUAAUACCUUUAAGAGGAAGA
rnacentral:lncRNA from 1 species